rnacentral:rRNA from 1 species
UACGUAGGUGGCAAGCGUUGUCCGGAAUUAUUGGGCGUAAAGCGCGCGCAGGCGGUCCUUUAAGUCUGAUGUGAAAGCCCACGGCUCAACCGUGGAGGGUCAUUGGAAACUGGGGGACUUGAGUGCAGAAGAGGAAAGCGGAAUUCCACGUGUAGCGGUGAAAUGCGUAGAGAUGUGGAGGAACACCAGUGGCGAAGGCGGCUCACUGGCCCGUAACUGACGCUCAUGCACGACAGCGUGGGGAUCAAACAGG